CUCACUUUCAACAUCAAGCAUGUUUUCUGGAGCUCUGCUGCUGCUGCUGGCAGCUGGAUGUGUGAAGGCUCAAACUCUGACACAGCCAGCCUCUGAGACUGUGCAGCCAGGUCAGCGUCUGACCAUCACCUGUCAGGUCUCUUAUUCUUUUAGCAGCUACUAGACAGGCUGGAUCAGACAGCCUGCAGGGAAAGGACUGGAGUGGAUCGGAAGCAGAUACACUGGUGGCACUUCCUACAAAGAUUCACUGAGGAGCAAAUUCACCAUUGAUUUAGACUCCUCCAGAAACACAGCGACUCUAAACGGACAGAACAUGCAGCCUGAAGACUCUGCUGUGUAUUUCUGUGCCAGAGACCCACAGUGACACAACCAUCAGCAGAGCUGAACAAAAACCCCUCAGAGCCUGAACACCUAAACAUGAAGCCACCAGGGG